rnacentral:misc_RNA from 1 species
GCCUUGGCAACAUGGGCCUUAGCAACAUGCUGCCAGCCAGCAAUAGCACCACAACAACGAUAGAUUUCAACAGUCGCCGGCGACGCGGUCGCCUACGGGCCGCCCACAAAUGUUGCCGACAAGUGCCAGCAACAAAUGCAAAUGUUGCUUAUACACAACAACAACAACAACAGAAACAACAACAACAACAUACGAAACAAACAAAACACCAUGCAAAGCUUUUGUUAUCAAUAAUGUGCGCGAACAUUGUCGAUUGUGUAAAUAUUUUAAAAUGCUUAGUAUUAUUAACGUUAACAACAACUACAACUGCAACUAAUAAUAACAAAAAUAAGAACAACAAUAGGCACGCCCGUGGGCGUUGUCAGCCGCAAUGCUGCCUCUCGUUGCUCCUGCUGCUCUGCCUCUGCCUCUGCUGCGCUCAGGCCCACAAGCCGAAGAGCGUGCACAAGCAACAACACCAACAGCAAGAGCAUCAGCCGGCGCACAACAACGAUGUCACGUUCAACAACAUGGCCGACGUGCCGCCCACUUAUCAAGUGAAAUCAUCGCAAACAUCGAAUGAGGACGAAGCCGAAAUCCUUUAUCAGUCCUCCGAAAUGUUCGGCGAGGAGGAGGAGGACGACCUUGCGGAUGGACGUGAGCCGAGCGGCCGGCAGGUGAACGAGGAUAAUGCGUCCAACCCACGCGGUAUCAAUGACUCGCUAACCGACAGUUCAAACACCACGAAAACGCCAUUAUUUCCAAAGGAUCUAUUCACGAAAGAACAGCUUGAGAACGGCGCUGUCAUCCUGCACAUUAUCGGAGUUAUUUACAUGUUUGUGGCGCUGGCAAUUGUCUGCGAUGAAUUCUUCGUGCCUUCCCUUGACGUAAUCAUUGAAAAGCUCGGCAUCACGGACGAUGUGGCCGGCGCAACGUUUAUGGCGGCGGGUGGCAGUGCACCAGAGCUCUUCACGAGUGUCAUUGGCGUUUUCGUGUCGUUCGACGAUGUUGGCAUUGGUACGAUUGUGGGAUCGGCUGUCUUCAACAUCCUGUUUGUCAUUGGAAUGUGUGCGCUGUUCUCGCGAACGGUCCUCUCGCUGACCUGGUGGCCUCUGUUCCGCGACUGCUCAUUCUACAGCAUCAGCCUGCUGGUGCUGAUCUAUUUUUUUCGCGACAAUCGCAUCUUCUGGUGGGAGGCGCUCAUCCUAUUUACCAUAUACAUUGCCUAUGUGACCUUCAUGAAGUGGAACGUGCAGGUGGAGCAUUGCGUCAAGAAGAUGAUUACCAAAAACAAGGUGACUCGCGUCCGAAGUACAGAUCAACUUAUGCCUGCAGCAAAGUGGACGAGAAGGCAACCCAGCUGCAUGCCAUUGCCUCGCUUAAGGUGCUGCUGGAUGCCACAAAGCCGCAACGUGGUGGCGCCACCACCUCGGCGGCCAAUCACGUCAAAAUCAAUCUCAAGGAAACUACGUUGGCCGAUCGCCCCAAUGGGAAUAUCGACACGACGCUCGACUCGCCAUCGUUAAGUGGUCGACGUCCUAGCUGGAUUGAGCAGAGGGUCAAAAUUCAGACACGCAAAUUUAGCAUCAAAGCGCCUGAAAUAAUCGA